AGUCUCGAGGUAUUUACGUCAAAAUGCAAGUUUGAAGAAGAGCCCAAGAGGGCUCCGGGGCUU
rnacentral:tRNA from 1 species